GACGAACGCUGGCGGCGUGCCUAAUACAUGCAAGUUGAGCGCUGAAGGUUGGUACUUGUACCAACUGGAUGAGCAGCGAACGGGUGAGUAACGCGUGGGGAAUCUGCCUUUGAGCGGGGGACAACAUUUGGAAACGAAUGCUAAUACCGCAUAAAAACUUUAAACACAAGUUUUAAGUUUGAAAGAUGCAAUUGCAUCACUCAAAGAUGAUCCCGCGUUGUAUUAGCUAGGUGGUGAGGUAAAGGCUCACCAAGGCGAUGAUACAUAGCCGACCUGAGAGGGUGGACCGGCCACAUGGGAAUGGGACAACGGCCAAACUCCUACGGGAGGGAGCAGUAGGGAAUCUUCGGAAAUGGACGAAAGUCUGAACGAGCAACGCCGCGUGAGUGAAGAAGGGUCUCGGAUCGGAAAACUCUGUUGGUAGGGAAGAAAGUUGGUGAGAGUGGAAAGCUCAUCAAGUGACGGUAACUAAACAGAAAGGGACGGCUAACUACGUG
rnacentral:rRNA from 1 species